GCUUAGCUCAUUCGUUCAAGUUCCAAAAGGAAUCAUACGACCUUUUCACUCACACAACGACUCGCUAAUUAACUGAAUCGUUUAAAGCGGUUCUUCUGAACUUCCUCGUGGAGCAGAACGCAGAAACUUUGUGGACAAAAAUUACAAAAGGAGCGCUGGAUAAAGUAAAUAUUGACCAGCAAUGCAUUGAAAAAACACAAUACGUUUGAUGACAGCGAUGAAGAAGUUAUGAAGUUCAACACCUGCAAGCAACUUGACCACACAGAAGACUCGGAGCAAGACAGAACAGAGAGCGCUUAGAUCACCGGCUCUCUGAAGACACCGGUACGAGCCAAGCUGAGAUGUGCUACCACAGGAGGAGAUAUUUUGAUUAUUCUGAAAGCUUGACAGUUUCAGGUAAAUGCCUGGAGUCAAAAGUCUGGCUAGAUAUUAAAUAUUGGGGGAAAUAUGUUUGUAUGAAGAGCGGCACAAUGGUCAAUUAUGGUGCCUCACAGCAAGAAGGUCACUGGUUUGAGUCCCAGCUGGGUCAGUUGGCAUUUCUGUGUGGAGUUUGCAUGCUC
rnacentral:lncRNA from 1 species